CGAAUGGCGUAAUGAUGGCCACACUGUCUCCUCCAGAGACUCAGCGAAGUUGAAAUGUUUGUGAUGAUGACAAUCCUCCCCGACGGAAAGAACGGAAAGACCCCAUGAACCUUUACUGUAGUCUUUACAUUGGACUUUGAACAGAUCUGUGUAGGAUAGGUGGGAGGCUUUGAAGCCAGGACGCUAAGUUCUGGUGGAGCCAACGUUGAAAUACCACCCUGGUGUGUUUGAGGUUCUAACCUUGGCCCGUUAUCCGGGUUGGGGACAGUGUAUGGUGGGCAGUUUGACUGGGGCGGUCUCCUCCCAAAGUGUAACGGAGGAGUUCGAAGGUACGCUAGCCACGGUCGGAAAUCGUGGUGAUAGUGCAUUGGCAUAAGCGUGCUUGACUGCGAGACUGACAAGUCGAGCAGGUACGAAAGUAGGAC
rnacentral:rRNA from 1 species